rnacentral:rRNA from 1 species
AACGAACGCUGGCGGCAUGCCUAACACAUGCCAGUCGAACGAAACCUUCGGGUCUAGUGGCGCACGGGUUCGUAACGCGUGGGAACCUGCCCUUAGGUUCGGAAUAACUCCCCGAAAGGGGUGCUAAUACCGGAUAAUGUCUUCGGACCAAAGAUUUAUCGCCUUUGGAUGGGCCCGCGUUGGAUUAGCUAGUUGGUAGGGUAAAAGCCUACCAAGGGGACGAUCCAUAGCUGGUCUGAGAGGAUGAUCAGCCACACUGGGACUGAGCAACGGCCCAGACUCCUACGGGAGGCAGCAGUGGGGAAUAUUGGAACAUGGGCGAAGGCAUGAUCGAGCAAUGCCGGGUGAGUGAUGAAGGCCUUAGGGUUGUAAAGCUCUUUUACCCGGGAUGAUAAUGACAGUACCGGGAGAAUAAGCCCCGGCUAACUCCGUG